AGAGGCGGAAAACCCGGGCUGGAUUUCUGGUUGCUUUUGUUCCCGCAAAUUUGCGUGGAGCAUUGUUUUUGGGCGAAAACGGGGCGUUCGGCCUUCCUGCUUUAUUCCUGAGCGGUGUAAGAGGGAGGUAGUGGGUAUCUUCGAGAAACGGCCGCCGCGGGGUCCGGAGUCCCGGGUUCCAAUCCCGGAUCAGCCACUGCUAAGCUGUGUGACCUUGGGCGAGUCACUUGGCCUCUCUGAGCCCCAGGCGCCUCCCCGGGAAAAUGAGAGUAAUAAUAACCGCCCGCGGGGUUUGUGCGAAGGUGUUGAGCUCACAGAGGGCCGGCACCGGCACUUUUGAGGCGGCUGACUUGCCCUGGGGGUGUGAUGGGAGGUGCAAGCUUUCUCCAAAAACUUCGUCCAAAUGGAGCCUUUAAAUCCGCCUUCUUUCCGCGGCUACUUCACCAGUUCGCCAAACCGAGAAAAUGCAAACACAGGGGCGGGGGCAAGGGAGCUGACCUGGCUGGAAGUAAACAGAAACGCCACCCUCCCCUGGCACUUGCAUUGGCACCGGAUUGCAGGUGGGGGAAGGGCCGGUGCACCCAACCACGUUUAAAUCCCACCACUUACACACAGGCAAAGAAGCAGAGCCACCGGGGCUGGACGCUCAUUCCUCCUCUGCCCUUCCCCUAGAGCGCUGCUUUGAAUGUCUGUUGAUCUAGAACGGGGUCUGUUCAUUCAUGGGUUCCAGGUCCCAAGCGCCCGGGGGCAGCUGAGAGCAAAGCUGGCGCCCUCCCUACACCGUGGAGCUCACACUCUGGUUCUGGGCAGUGCACACUAGAGAUUGGUUGAAUCAAUGAAUGAACUUUUUCAGGAUAUGGUCCAAGGUGCUGAAAACUUCCUAACAAAACUCUUCAGCCGAAUCUGGCACACCUGUGGUUCCAGCUACUGGGUAGACCGAGGCAGGAGGAUCGCUUGAGGCCAAGAGUUCAAGGCCAACCUGGGCAACAUGAUACAGAAAUGAACACAUAGAGACUUCGGGGGAAAGGAGACUAUGUGCAAGGAUGGCAGAGAUUGGAGCUGAGGAGUGCCUGGGCCUACCAGAGGCUGCAAGAGACAGGGAGGACCCUCCCCUAGAGCCUCCAGAGGGAACAGAGCCCUGCCCACACCUUGACUUUGGACUCCUGGCCUCCAGAACUGUGAGAAGACCUAGGACCCCACGAGAGGAGGGAUCUAGAGGCCAGGCCAGGAGCAGGACAACACAAACAGAGGCCUCAGAAGAAGACUCAGAGUGGAACAGGGGUUCCUUAAGUGAUCGGGGCUGGAAGUGCACAGAGAAGCCUGGCGCAGCAGGGAAUUUUCUCUCCCUGGGGUGCUGCCAAGGUGUGUGUGGUCUCCAGCUGCGACAUGUGCUUCCUUCCCUUGGCCUGAGUCCUGCUUUCCUGUGAUUGAGAAGGUUUGGGACCUGACACCCUGAGCAUGGAGGCCAUAAAUCCAGUGGAUCCCUAAACUUCCUGAUGGGGUCCUGGCUCCAGGCCUCGGUUCCUGACAGCCUCGUGUAAUUGACAAAACCCCAUGGGGCUGUUUCUGAUACUGCUAUCAAAAUUCCCAUCAUACAGAUACUGAAUGGUCAAGGGCUUUGGCCCAGGCCACACAGUUAGUUCAUGUUGGAAUUGGAUUCUGCCCUAAGUCAAUUGUCCAUAGACUCUGCCCCUCCCAGGAGGAAACCACAAAUGUGACAUAUUGUUUAUUUGCUAUUUUUGCAAAGGUGUCUGUUGCUUGCCGGCUUUUCCAGCCAUGACUGCAGACAAAGUCCACCUAGAGUCAUAAAUGGGCAAUCAGCCCCGAACAACGUCCAGCCCCGGUUUCUGCACAGCGAGGUGUUUUUGUCCAUGGCAGACCUGCUUACCCAGGUGUCUUUGGUGUGGGGCUAGAUGCAGCAUUUCCCCAGUGGGAAUGGCCUGGGGUCUUAUUUAAAGUGGAGGGUCCUAGGCCUGGCCCCACGUAUGGAGUCAGGAUCCCUAGGGGUAGGACCUUGGAAUCCGCAUUUUUUUUUUGAGACAGGGUCUCUGUCACCCAGGCAGUGGCACGAUCUCAGCUCUCUGAAACCUCCACCUCCUGAUUCAAGCGAUUCUCCUGCCUCGGCCUCCCGAGUAGCUGGUGUUACAGGCACACACCACCAUGCCCGGCUAAUUUUCUAUAUUUUUAGUAGAGAUGGGGUUUCAUCAUGUUGGCCAGGCUGGUCUCCAACUCCUGACCUCAAGCCAUAUACUGGCCUCGGCCUCCCUAAUUGCUGGGAUUACAGGUAUGAACCUCCGUGCCUGGCCAGGAAUCUGCAUUUUUGCUAGUAACCCUGGUCAUCUCAGUGCACACCAAAGUUUGAAACCACUGUUGGGGUGUGGAGUUCUUGCUUCCAGACUUCCAGGGCCUGUGGAUUGAACAACAGCAACCACAGUAGCAAUUAGGAUUUUCAGUCUGAAAAACAAGCCUGCCACGCAACAAGGGUUUUCUCCCGUUUUACAGAUGAGGGACCUGAGGCUUCAUGAGGCUGUUAUUGACCUGAGGUCGCACAGCUGAUGGCUCCUGGGUUCUUAGCGUUAAGUUUUGCAGCCUUAUUUCUGUCGUAUAUUUGUUUCUCAUAUUUCUGUGUUUCUUGCAGUGCAAUUGUGAUAUCCUCUAAAAGCCAAGGAUGAACUCACUGCUGACCUUGGUUUCAUUUGUUUGUUUGUUUUCACCUUUUCUUGUGAAAUGUGCAAACAUACUCAAGAGAAUCAUAUGGCGAUUUCUUAUAGUCCCCUUUGGCCAGCUUCCGCAAAGAUGACAUUUUGGCACUCUUACUCUAUCCAUUUCUCUCACCCCACCCCCAACAUAAACACAUGUUCUUUCUGGAAUAUUUUCAAGCAAAUACAGGAUUUUUAAAAACAUGU